CAGUAGCCGCGGGAAUACAGAGGGUGCGAGCGUUAAUCGGAUUUACUGGGCGUAAAGCGUGCGUAGGCGGCUUCUUAAGUCGGAUGUGAAAUCCCUGAGCUUAACUUAGGAAUUGCAUUCGAUACUGGGAAGCUAGAGUAUGGGAGAGGAUGGUAGAAUUCCAGGUGUAGCGGUGAAAUGCGUAGAGAUCUGGAGGAAUACCGAUGGCGAAGGCAGCCAUCUGGCCUAAUACUGACGCUGAGGUACGAAAGCAUGGGGAGCAAACAGGAUUAGAUACCCGGGUAGUCCCUGUCUCUUAUAC
rnacentral:rRNA from 1 species